ACAUUUUGUAACGGGGUUGUAGCUGGCCUUCCGAGGCAUGUGCACGCCCUGCUACUCCACUCUACACCUGUGCACUUACUGUGGGUUUCAGGAACUUCGAAAGCGGGGGGGAGUCUCCCUCGCUGGCUUUUUGUCUGUGUUGGUGGGUGGGCCUUCACCACCCACUCACUCAAGUAUGUAAAUGAGUGUGUGUUAGGUAUGGAACGCCUCUCCAACCUACUUCCACCAACCGAUUGGUUGUCGCAUCGAUGAAGAACGCAGCCAACUGAAAGAAAUAAUGUGAAUUGAUUAAUUAAUUGAAUGAAUCAAUCUUUGAACGCACCCUGCUCUCCUUGCUUUUCCUACGAACGUGCCUGUUUGAUUGUCUGGAAAUUAUUAACCAAACGGGCUGUUUCCGGGACUUGCUUGCGCUUGGAUGUGGAGGCUUGCCUGCUAGCUUUCUUCUAUUCAGCUCCUCCCAAAUGCAUGAACUUUGGUUCCUUGCGGAUCUGGCUCGCUGAGUGAGUGUUGUCUGCGCCCGCACCGUCGAAGCAUUUAUACGGGCCGGCUUCCUUUCGUCUCUCUGUCAGACAGACAUCAUUCAUCUCUGACCGACAAUCAGGUAGGACUACCCGCUGAACUUAAGCAUAUCAAUAAACGGAGGAAGGAAUU
rnacentral:rRNA from 1 species